GGAUAGCCAGAAUUCCAUCAUCCUGAACCCAAAAAGUAAUUAAAAUAAAUCCUAUUGAGAAGAAUAAUCAAAAUGUCAGUAAAAUAUAACCAAUCAAAAUGACUAGAGUAGGAUCUGCUAGGAAAUAUAGGGAGUGCCUCAACACUUCCCACGUUGCAGGCUCUAAGACCGUUAUACAUAGUGAUCCCUUCCGCUCGCACUGAAGGGAAAAGUCCCCUUGGUUAGACCCAUGACCUCCAAGCCCCCAUGAUGAAACCUCAAUGUUGCACAAUGCUCACCUUCAUGCACUACAAAAUAUGAACUAUGGUAUCUUCUACAAUGUUUUAGAUUUCAAAGUUCAUCUAAUUUUGAUGUUUUCUUUAUAUAAGAUGAAAAGGACGAUGUUUCCCCAAGUAAAAUGCAAUAUCUGUUGCAAAAUGCAAAUUUUUUUUUUUUUCAUGCGCAUGUUCUUUAAAUCCUUCUCAUCUAUCCUGUCAUAAUGACAAUUUCUGCAACUAACGACAAACAUUACCUUCAGAAGUGAGUCAAUGGCUG
rnacentral:misc_RNA from 1 species